rnacentral:rRNA from 1 species
UACAGAGGUGGCAAGCGUUGUUCGGAAUUACUGGGCGUAAAGCGCGCGCAGGCGGCUAUCCAAGUCAGUGGUGAAAGCCCGGAGCUCAACUCCGGAACUGCCAUUGAAACUGUUUAGCUUGAGGACGAGAGAGGUGAGUGGAAUUCCCAGUGUAGAGGUGAAAUUCGUAGAUAUUCGGAAGAACACCAGUGGCGAAGGCGACUCACUGGACACAUAUUGACGCUGAGGUGCGAAAGCGUGGGGAGCAAACAGG